rnacentral:rRNA from 1 species
GUGGAUUAGAUACCCUGGUAGUCCUAGCCGUAAACGAUGUGAACUUGGCGCUGGUCGGGUAAAACUGAUCUGUGCCGAAGCAAACGCGAUAAGUUCACCACCUGGGGACUACGGCCGCAAGGUUAAAACUCAAAGGAAUUGACGGGGGCCCGCACAAGCAGCGGAGCGUGUGGUUUAAUUCGAUGCUACACGAAGAACCUUACCAGGGCUUGACAUGGAAGUGGUAGUGAAGCGAAAGCGGAACGACCCUUCGGGGAGCUUUCACAGGUGCUGCAUGGUCGUCGCCAGCU